rnacentral:rRNA from 1 species
GACGAACGCUGGCGGCGUGCCUAAUACAUGCAAGUCGAACGCAGUGGGGACGGGUGAGUAACACGUGGGUAACCUCCCAUCAGAGGGGAUAACACUUGGAAAAAGGCGCUAAUCCGAUACUGAUGGCUGGACCCGCGGUGCAUUAGCUAGUUGGUUAGGUAACGGUCCACCAAGGCGACGAUGAAUAGCGGACCUGAGGGGGUGACCGGCCACACUGGAACUGAGACACGGCCAAGACUCCUACGGGAGGCAGCAGGGGGGAAUAUUGCACAAUGGGCGCAAGCCUGAUGCAGCCAUGCCGCGUGUGUGAAGAAGGCCUUCGGGUUGUAAAGCACUUUCAGCGAGGAGGCGUUACUCGCAGAAGAAGCACCGGCUAACUCCGUGCCAGCCGCCGCGGUAAUUC